rnacentral:rRNA from 1 species
GACGAACGCUGGCGGCGUGCUUAACACAUGCAAGUCGAACGGUGAAGCGCCUUCCUUUUUGGUGGGUGUGGAGGAGUGGCGAACGGGUGAGUAACACGUGAGUAACCUGCCCCCUUCUGCUGGAUAACCGCAUGAAAGUGUGGCUAAUACGGGAUAUUCUGGGUCGGUCGCAUGAUGGGUCUGGGAAAGAUAUUGUUUCGGUGAGGGAUGGGCUCGCGGCCUAUCAGCUUGUUGGUGGGGUGAUGGCCUACCAAGGCGGUGACGGGUAGCCGGCCUGAGAGGGUGGACGGCAAUACUGGGAAGGAGAGACCGAGACGCCUACGACGGGCGGCAGUAGUGAGGAUUACGGAAUGAUCGGAAGAAGGAUGGUGCAGCGCCGCGUGAGGGGUGAUGGUCGCCUUCUCGUAGUGAUCUUUUAUCGGGAGUGAAGAAGUCCGGAAUUGUUUGUGCGCGGCUUGACAGUAGCUGGUCAAGAAGCGACGGCUAACUACGUG